CCCAGUGCCACUAAUAAACUUAACCUGAGAAGUCUCCCAAGUCAAUGGCUCUUCAAUAAAAGACUUCAUAAUUUACUUCCUUCUGUUUUACAGACUGGAAGCAACGCUAGGAAUUAACAGGAAUGGCACAUGACUGAUCUGCACGGUAUUCACCAAUAGGCGGGAGCACAUUCUCCUCCAAGCAAAUGAUUUCUCAUUCCUUGGAUGACUCUGUAAAUACACGUGCAGUACAGCUGGAGCUACAGAAAGUGCUAAAACAGAGUCAAUAGGUCAGAGAAAAUGACUGUGAGAGCUUGUGUACUGCAGCUGAUGGUUUGGCACAACCCUCCACCAAGAAGUCACUUCUCCGGAUGGGUUUCUUCUCCACUGCGUUUGACAAUAAUGUGAAUGAGAGCUGUGACUCCCUGUUGGCCUACAGUGAUGGAUUGCACAGCAGACUGGUGUUGGCAUA